CCAGCUGUCCAGAAAACUCCACAGGAAGUAAGCUUGGACUCUACAGCCAUCUCUGCCAACAAAAAGUUGGAAGGUAAGCUUCGCAUCUUUUUAGUUCAGAGUCUCACCUUAUUGAUGCUGCAAGAUUUGACAGGUACGUCUUGUAAUAGUUAAUCCUGGGCUGAUCAUCCAGCUGUUGAGCCAACGGACUGGAACUGUUGGUAGUAUCACUGAUCCCUGUGAAUGAAGAGAAACAAGCUUGCUUCUACUGCAUCAGCUCACCAGGUACGUACCAUUUUCAGUGAUAUAGAUUAUUGGAUUGCGGUACUUAUCCUUGAUGUAAUUCAUCAGCCUCCUGAUCCCGUACGGUACGACGUAGAAGCCAUUGAUAUUCCUCCCGAUCAACACGCCCUUCUUCUUGUCUGCGAGAAGACGAACGAGAGAGCUGGAAUGAGAGGAAUCCAUUUCUAGGCCCACCUAGGAACGCAAAGUCGACGUCCUUGUAGUAAGCCGGGUGGUAGAUGGCUUGGCGCUGAUUGAGGAGGUUUCCCUGGACAAAGGUACGGUUUGGAUUGUCUUUCACGUAGAGGCUGAAGUAGUGAUUGAUGCCAAUGAAAUCAGAGGUGCCUUGGAGCCAUUUCUUCUCCUCGGCUGUGAAUUUUGGCAGCCUGCUUCCAACGUUUGCGACCAACGCUGGUGGAUACUCCCCAUACGUGACGGGAUGAAGCAUCCUGGACGCGAACAAAGUAAAGUUUUUUCGUAAAGUUUGUAGAGAUCAAGGUUCUUACCAUCCGAGAUUGAACUGCUGAGCUCUUUCGGCGGCAGCUUUGUCUUGCUUGGAGUUUGAAACAGGUUCGUACCACAAUGUGUCAAGCGUGAUACCAAUCACCCCUUUCUGACUAGCCUGCGAUUGUUUUCGUCAAGUUGAGGUAAUCUUUAAGACUUUUUAAUUUUUCUGGUGUACCUUGUAUCUUUUGGUGUAGAUCUCGAUCGCUUUCGCAUGGGCGAGGAGUAAAUGGUGGCCUACGACGUAUGGCUCCAUGGACGAGUCUCCUCCCGUGCAGUUUCCGAUCUCGGGCGAGCAUCUUCCCGGCGCAAACACGCCAAUGUUGUAGCCAAUGACUGCGAAGAUGUGGGGCUCGUUGAGCGUGAUCCAGUUCUUCACUCUGUCCCCGAAUGCUUUGAAGCAAGCCUCCACGAAAACUCCAAAGUCGUCCCUGGCGUGUCACGGUAUGUUUUGCAAGAGCUCAUGGUUGGAUUUACUAACUUACACGAUCUUGGAGCUCAAGAAUCCUCCAUAGGAUUUCUCCAGAGCAUAGGGGAGGUCCCAGUGGAAGAGCGUCACGUAUGGCUUCAAGCCUGGAUCCGCGAAGCAAGCACUUCAAAAUACGUGCAAGCGG
rnacentral:lncRNA from 1 species